GACGAACGCUGGCGGCGUGCUUAACACAUGCAAGUCGAACGGAAAGGCCCUGCUUUUGUGGGGUGCUCGAGUGGCGAACGGGUGAGUAACACGUGAGUAACCUGCCCUUGACUUUGGGAUAACUUCAGGAAACUGGGGCUAAUACCGGAUAGGAGCUCCUGCUGCAUGGUGGGGGUUGGAAAGUUUCGGCGGUUGGGGAUGGACUCGCGGCUUAUCAGCUUGUUGGUGGGGUAGUGGCUUACCAAGGCUUUGACGGGUAGCCGGCCUGAGAGGGUGACCGGCCACAUUGGGACUGAGAUACGGCCCAGACUCCUACGGGAGGCAGCAGUGGGGAAUAUUGCACAAUGGGCGGAAGCCUGAUGCAGCAACGCCGCGUGCGGGAUGACGGCCUUCGGGUUGUAAACCGCUUUCGCCUGUGACGAAGCGUGAGUGACGGUAAUGGGUAAAGAAGCACCGGCUAACUACGUGCCAGCAGCCGCGGUGAUACGUAGGGUGCGAGCGUUGUCCGGAUUUAUUGGGCGUAAAGGGCUCGUAGGUGGUUGAUCGCGUCGGAAGUGUAAUCUUGGGGCUUAACCCUGAGCGUGCUUUCGAUACGGGUUGACUUGAGGAAGGUAGGGGAGAAUGGAAUUCCUGGUGGAGCGGUGGAAUGCGCAGAUAUCAGGAGGAACACCAGUGGCGAAGGCGGUUCCCUGGGCCUUUCCUGACGCUGAGGAGCGAAAGCGUGGGGAGCGAACAGGCUUAGAUACCCUGGUAGUCCACGCUGUAAACGGUGGGUACUAGGUGUGGGGUCCAUUCCACGGGUUCCGUGCCGUAGCUAACGCUUUAAGUACCCCGCCUGGGGAGUACGGCCGCAAGGCUAAAACUCAAAGGAAUUGACGGGGCCCCGCACAAGCGGCGGAGCAUGCGGAUUAAUUCGAUGCAACGCGUAGAACCUUACCUGGGUUUGACAUGGAUCGGGAGCGCUCAGAGAUGGGUGUGCCUCUUUUGGGGUCGGUUCACAGGUGGUGCAUGGCUGUCGUCAGCUCGUGUCGUGAGAUGUUGGGUUAAGUCCCGCAACGAGCGCAACCCUUGUUCACUGUUGCCAGCACGUUAUGGUGGGGACUCAGUGGAGACCGCCGGGGUCAACUCGGAGGAAGGUGGGGAUGACGUCAAGUCAUCAUGCCCCUUAUGUCCAGGGCUUCACGCAUGCUACAAUGGCUGGUACAGAGAGUGGCGAGCCUGUGAGGGUGAGCGAAUCUCGGAAAGCCGGUCUCAGUUCGGAUUGGGGUCUGCAACUCGACCUCAUGAAGUCGGAGUCGCUAGUAAUCGCAGAUCAGCAACGCUGCGGUGAAUACGUUCCCGGG
rnacentral:rRNA from 1 species